CCGAACGUUGGGGCGAGUGUUAAAACUCUGCCUUAAGGUGAACCCUUUCGGGCUCGAGAGUGACGUUCGUCCUGAGGGUGUCUCCUAUGAGAUCGCACCUCGGCACAGAACGUAGUCGAUGCUGUGUGAAAUUUAAGCAACAA